rnacentral:rRNA from 1 species
UGGGGAAUAUUGGACAAUGGGGGCAACCCUGAUCCAGCCAUGCCGCGUGUGUGAAGAAGGCCUUUUGGUUGUAAAGCACUUUAAGCAGUGAAGAAGACUCCAUGGUUAAUACCCAUGGACGAUGACAUUAGCUGCAGAAUAAGCACCGGCUAACUCUGUGCCAGCAGCCGCGGUAAUACAGAGGGUGCAAGCGUUAAUCGGAAUUACUGGGCGUAAAGCGAGCGUAGGUGGCUUGAUAAGUCAGAUGUGAAAGCCCCGGGCUUAACCUGGGAACGGCAUCUGAUACUGUUAGGCUAGAGUAGGUGAGAGGAAGGUAGAAUUCC